AGUGAACGCUGGCGGUAGGCCUAACACAUGCAAGUUGAACGGCAGCACAGUAAGAGCUUGCUCUUACGGGUGGCGAGUGGCGGACGGGUGAGGAAUACAUCGGAAUCUACUUUUUCGUGGGGGAUAACGUAGGGAAACUUACGCUAAUACCGCAUACGACCUACGGGUGAAAGCAGGGGAUCUUCGGACCUUGCGCGAUUGAAUGAGCCGAUGUCGGAUUAGCUAGUUGGCGGGGUAAAGGCCCACCAAGGCGGCGAUCCGUAGCUGGUCUGAGAGGAUGAUCAGCCACACUGGAACUGAGACACGGUCCAGACUCCUACGGGAGGCAGCAGUGGGGAAUAUUGGACAAUGGGCGCAAGCCUGAUCCAGCCAUACCGCGUGGGUGAAGAAGGCCUUCGGGUUGUAAAGCCCUUUUGUUGGGAAAGAAAAGCAGCAGGUUAAUACCCCGCUGUUCUGACGGUACCCAAAGAAUAAGCACCGGCUAACUUCGUG
rnacentral:rRNA from 1 species